rfam:Schistosoma haematobium scaffold231_33, whole genome shotgun sequence.
AUCCAGUUGACGAGUCCCAAAAUAAGAGAAACAUGUGUCCUGGAU